GAUUUUGCUCGUACCCCGCAUCGUGGUGCGGAGGGAGGCUGAGGGGUGGGGGUUGAGGUGGAGGUUCUGCUCGUCGCCCGCAACGUGGGGGCGGGGGAGAUUCUGCUCGCCGGCCGCUCGACGGACGGCGCGGACGAGCAUGGCGCGCCGGCCCACAAGGAGACAGGCGGCACCGGGUUCGUCUCCGGCUCGAGACCACGGCCGUUGGGGCGCGCCUCUUCUCCGAUCUGCAGGCUCUCGCGGGGAACCUAUCGACUUCGUUGGACGAGGAGGAGAGGAGCAACUGCCUGCACUCGAUCCUCCUCACUUCCUCAGCGCGCGACGAUUCUGGGCGAAGGGUGUCGGCAGUCGAGCUCUUCUCGUCGCCGGCGAAGUCUACGCGCGCGCGCGCGCCCUCCUGUGGUUUGUUCCUUUUUUUCGUUCUGCUCUUCCGGUGAUUUCUCCCCUUUUUGCAGAAGGCCCUGCUGUUGAAAUAGCUGAUAGUGCGCUCGGGCGCUCUUUUGCGGCUGCAUUCCUUGAUUUUCCCGGCCGAUAGGGGUGUGAUUUGGGGCCACGGUAGCUGAAGGGUGUGCUUCAGUCUCCGAUUGGCAGGGGAAAAAGUGGGUAGGGACUAGGGAAUGGAGAUUGAAGAGUGCGGAUUGGUUGGUGGAUGUGAUUUUGACUUGUUUGGUCACUUUUUUGCUUGAAGAGUGUGAGCUGGUUGGUGUUAGAUCUGUUUCUAUAGAGCAAAAUUUGGAACUAACAGAGGAAAAUUUGGUGAAAUGCAAGGAUUAGUGCACAGGGAAGUCUCUACAGAAGCAUUAUUAGCUAUUUCCUCACCCUUUCCCCAUUAGGUCAUUCAGGUGUAUUUUUGUGUGUUGUGAUUGCUUCAGUUUUGGUUCAAUGAUUCUGGAGCAGCUUAUGGUUAGUAUUGAGGCAUGUGUUCAUGACUUGCCAAUUUUUCAGUCAAAUUCUGAAGAUAAUAUACCCAGUUACUUAACAUUAAAUACUUGAUGAUAAAACAUUCUGAAGAUAUUUGUCUUAGUCAAGUGUCUAUUAGGCCAAAUUUGAGAUUAGUGUCAGUUUUGUUUCCAAUUAGUUUCAGAAUAGUCUCAGUUAUGAUUCUGAUUUAGCUAAGUUUCAAAGUCUGUGCCAUAGUCCAUCGGUCAGUUACUGAAUUUUUUAAUUCAAUGUCAAGUUGCAUAUCUGAACCAUGUAGAAUGACCUGAUUAUUAAAGUUAUACGACCUUCUGGAUAAGCAAGCUCGAGCCCUUAAAUGGACUAUAGGGCUUGUUUUCAGAAUGAGAAGCCCCAUGGUUAGUCUAAUGCAAGUCAAAUAGCACAUAUUUGUCAGCGCAAUUUUGAUCAGUUUAAGGUUUUUUUGGUCACAGUUUAAUUUCUGCUCUCUAAACUGAAGAGUACAUCCUUUUUUUCUGUUUCGCAAGCUGGUAGAAGUUAACAUCUACACAGAGAACUUAACAAUUACGAAAAAAAAAUCAGUCACUGUAUCUUCAGUUUUUUGUAUGUCUCGGAACUGACAGUUAAAGUCCAUGAUCCACCUUAGAUUAAUUCAAAUCAUCACGUUUUUUAGUGCCGCAAUGACUAUUUUGUCUAGUUAGUUAAGUUGUACUCCCUCUGUCCCAUAUUAAGUGACUCAAAGUUGCGCAAAUAUGGAUGUAUCUAUACCCAAAAAGCGUCUAGAUACAUGUAAUAUUUUGUCACUUAUUAUGGGACGGAGGGAGUAGUAGCUGAAGUUUGAGUCUAAGCGGUGAGAGUUUCUUGUGUUUAUUAUCACGCGGUGAGAGGUCUUAGAAGUUGAUUUUCGACUUGUUUUUGUCCGAACAACUCCAUGGAUCUACCUUUUUCACAAUAAAAAAAAGGGGAGAGCAUUGAAUAAGGGAUCUUCCUCCAGGAGCAUCGAGUACAUGAUUCUGUCGAUUCUGCAUUGGGUUGGCCAGGUGAUGAUUUUCUGCUGUAAUGCUCAGCUGAUCUUUUCUUUCAUUGAUGUUCCCAUUUUUCUGUUAUGUGUGUUCCGUCUGUUGUUCUGCUGCUCCUAUCAAUCUCUAGAUCGGUCUGGCAUCGCUUUCGUGUAGCUCAAUUUGGUCUUUUAUGAAGCUGCAAUGUGUGUUUUGGCUUGGUUUCACGUGUUUUUUUUUGUAGCAGGCUGGGUUCCUGGGCUGCUUAUGGGUUGUUUUCGAGCUGUUGUAGCCUUAUUUUUCUUCUCCGCACCCUUUUAACGGGUUUCUUCCGGUCCCGGUAGGCCUUUUUUAGGCCCAAUUGAGGGGACAGAUGUCUCCUUCUGUUUGCCCCAUCUGUGCUGUUGCUGCCGAUGGAAAUGUAUCAUCUAUGGGAGAUACAGAUUUAAAUAUCGGCAAACCAUGCAAUGGUAAAGUAUAAUAUGUUUUUGCUACAUUGUAGUUCUAAAUUUUUAAUUUGCACCAUUGUUACUCGUCGAAAUUUGUCAUUGCACUCCAAUUGAAUGUUUUUUUGCAUCUCUACUACUGUAGCAAUUCAUAUGUAUGCCUUCUGCAAUUGCUAGCCUAUGUAAUUGACCUCCCAUGUCUUUGCUACAUUGCAGUUUUAAAUUUUCAGUUUGCACAAUUGCUAGUUGUCGAAAUUCAUAUGUAUGCUUUCUACUAUUGCUAGCCUAUGUAAUUGACCUCCCAUGUCUUUGCUACAUUGCAGGUUAAUUUUUUUAAUUUGCACCAUUGCUAGUCGUCGAAAUUCAUAAUUGCACUUCAAUUGAAUGAUUUUUGCAUCUCUACUACUGUGGCAAUUCAUAUGUAUGCCUUCUGCAAUUGCUAGCCUAUGUAAUUGACCUCCCAUGUCUUUGCUACAUUGCAGUUUUAAAUUUUUAAUUUGCACCAUUUCUAGUUGUCGAAAUUCAUAAUUGCACUUCAAUUGAAUGAUUUUUUGCAUCUCUACUACUGUUGCAAUUCAUAUGUAUGUCUUCUGCAAUUGCUAGCCUAUGUAAUAUCAAUUGCAUCUUUGCAAUCACUAUGCCUUCUAAUUUCUCUUUUCUAUUCUUUUGUGUUUUUUCUCUUUGGAAGAUGAAGCCCCUGCCGUUGAUUGCGAAGCCCCGGUGCGCUCUUUAAGUUCAGGCGCUUCACUUUUAUUGAUUCUAAACUCAGAUGUCAUCAUUGCAAUUGAUUUACGAUUGAAUUAGUGCAUACAAGUCCAAGUUUCUGUUUUCUGCAAUCACAGUGGAUCUAUUCAAUUUGAAUUUCUUUUGGGUUCCCUUUUAGCUUGUCCAAUCUGUUUUUGAAUUCCUUUUGAAUUUCGAAUUUGAAUAGGUGCUUUCCACGGGAUUGCACUGGGUCCCUUUUAGAUUGUCGAGAUCUAGAUUGCAUCCUGCUACAAUUGAACUGGUUUAAAUCCAAAUUGCAUCUUUGUGAUCCAUUUCCUAGUGUAUUCUGUUGCAUCCAAAUUGGAAUUUUCAAAGUAGGAACCUGUGUUAGACGGCCACUCCCAGAUAACCUGUAGCAAUUUUCAAAUCCUAAAGUUUCAAGGUCUUUCAAAUGCAAUUGCAUUGAUCUUUUGAAUUUUUCACCUGUAGCUUAUUUUGAUUGCAGUGUUAAUGCCUUUGCAUUGCACUUGUUUUUGAAAAUUGGUUUCAAAUUGAUUUGAAGCCCUUACAAAGUGCAGUUGCACCUGUAACUUGGAUUUCAUCCCAAUUGAUUUUUGAGUUGAUCACUGGGCAUAAGUAACCUUUUAUGUUUUAUGUUUUUUGGAUUUUGAUUUCUGUUUUUAGGUGAAAAUCCCCUUCUACUUUUCUUGCUUAUAGUUCCCCAUACAGAAUUAAGCGACCCCAGAACAAAGAGCAGAACAGCUCAGCUAGUCCAUAGGAGAAUCAAGAGCAGAACACCUGCAAAGCCUAUGCUCAGCUUGGUUUUGAUAACCCGCACAGAAUCAUUUUGUUGGUUUUGAUAACAUCACAAUACAAUUAGUGGUAUCAUCAACUUGAGAAUAAAUAGGGUUUUCUUCUCUGUCCGUUAAUCUUACUUUGUUCUUUUGAACUGAAGGAGCGCUACAGGAUUUUUGCAAAUACAGUUAACACGAAACGCAAUUGAGUUCCUACCGACUAGUAGUUGCAUAUUUGCAAUUUGUGUUUCAUGGUUGCACAAUCCUCUUAGGUUCACAGUGUACUUGAACAGCAGGUGUGUUUUCUAGUAGUGGCUUUGGUGCAUUUUUGUUGCACUUGCACAUGCCCUUCCUUUUUUUUAUUCAUCCUAGUGCAUUUUUUAUAUGGUAGUUGAACUGCAUUUGCAAUAAUUAAUCUAGUAGGUGACUACCGAGCAAGAUUUUUUUGAAAUUUGAUUUUGUUGAACAUCACACUACAAUUAGUGGUAUCAUCAAAUUGAGAAUAAUUAGGGUUUUCUCCUCUGUCCAUUAAUCGUACUUUGUAAAAAAGAUUGGCAGGUUCAUCAGCCAUCCAUUAGGUUAUGGAGGGCCCUUGUCAAGUCUGCAAAAAGCCAAAUGGGCCAUGCAGGAUUAAAGACAAGGAGAAGAGCUUCUUCUGCAUGUACACCGUUGACAUGUUUCAUGACCAUGUGAACAUCCCCUGCUAUAUCCGUGAGCAGUUCAACAAGCUAUGUUCCAUGUGAUAACACUAGAAAACGGCGACGGGUAUCUUUACACUGUUGAUGUCCACGCCGACAUAACUUUGUUAUGCGGAAGCAAGUGGGGGCAGCUUGUUGCUGACCAUGGGAUUGCCUUGCGCGACUGUCUAAUAUUCCAUUUUUCAAAGGAGGGCAACCACACCUUUGUCAUUCAGCGCACGAACAAGAAAGCUACCUUUAUAACCACUCAGUUACGGAGUAGCGUUUGGUAACUCCUAAAUAGGCUGAUUCACAUCUCAAGCUCAUGCGAUGACUUCAGGUCUAGGACUGACAUAUACAUCGUACUUGAGACUAACAAAUGACAAUCAUCUUGUUGUGUUUCAGAGCGAGUCUGUCCGACUCAACAA